rnacentral:tRNA from 1 species
GGCGAUGUAGAAGUGGUUAAAAGUCAAGCUCAGAACUUGAAACUUGAGUUCAAAUCCCGACAUUGCUC